rnacentral:rRNA from 1 species
UACGAAGGGGGCUAGCGUUGUUCGGAAUCACUGGGCGUAAAGCGUACGUAGGCGGACCAUUAAGUCGGGGGUGAAAUCCCAGGGCUCAACCCUGGAACUGCCUUCGAUACUGGUGGUCUGGAGUCCGGGAGAGGUGAGUGGAACUCCUAGUGUAGAGGUGAAAUGCGCAGAUAUCAGGAAGAACACCCGUGGCGAAGGCGGCUCUCUGGGACGGUACUGACGCUGAGACGCGAAAGCGUGGGGAGCGAACAGG